GUGUUUGUAACUCAAUUGGAUAGAGUGUCAGACUACGGAUCUGAAAGCUGAAAGUUCGAAUCUUUCCAAGCACA
rnacentral:tRNA from 1 species